ACCCACAGUAGGUGUGCGAAAGCAUACCCAUGGG
rnacentral:sRNA from 1 species